rnacentral:misc_RNA from 1 species
UUAAGUUCAGCGGGUAUUCCUACCUGAUCCGAGGUCAACCUUAGAAAUUUCUUCCCGCGAGGGGAGGAGACCGGAUACCUGUUGACCGCUUAAGGACCGAUACGUGCUUAGAGAUCAAGCUCCAUGUACCGGGGGUUCAACAGGCCGCCGUCAUUAACUUUGGGAGGGGUAUCCCCGGGGGGAGACACCAGGCCUUCCAA